rnacentral:lncRNA from 1 species
AGAGAGGGCGCCAUGAUCGCCCAGUCUCGCGCCGACCGCCACUGUGGACGGACGAUUGUUGUUUGUUAUAAUGCGAUCGGAAAAAUAAACUAGUUUUGCUUCGAACCGACCGGCUAUUCUGUGCGUUGUGGACAAAAACUGUUGUGAACGUGUUCUUUUAUCGAUUAAACCGUUCUGUAGCCGUUGACUUUAGUGGGAACAAAGGCUUAGUUUUAAGGUGAACGUACGUUGGAUCUCGAAAACAAGAUUCAGAUACAAUUGGAGCGGACGAGGCACGCUGGCCGACAACCAUGAAUUAGAUAUCGCUCACAACGAUAUCAAACGUAAGUACCUAAUUAUG